GGCACGCGCACCACCAGAAACACCCGGCGGCAUCCGCACGAGGCCGGGGACAGGAGAGUGUUCCUACACGUCCCGCACGGAGCUCCACGAGCACGGUGGCUACAACGCUCCCGGUGCACGUCACCAGCCGGUGUACACCGGGGAAACACCGGGAGGACCUGCUGCACGUGAACGGGUCGCGUGCGAGGAAGUCUAUAGUUCCAACUUCCCGAGGUAUAUACGAGUGUAUAAAAGCACCGUUACGCGUUAUCUGGAGCGUCAACGAGGGUCUGACAGAGGAAACAAGGAGACGUACCACUUAGGUUAGAACUGUCCCCGGCGGUAUCCUCUUCUUCAUCUGCUGCCAGAUGUGCUGCAGCCUCCAUUAAGCCUGUCAUGCUGCUUCCCACCAGCAGGGGGUGAUCAAGAGCUGCUGUGCUUUACAGUCCGUCCCCAUGUUCUGCGUGACACUCCAUCUCACGCAACCCGCCACAAUAAGAAGUAUUCAGCUCAUUGUGUUGAAUCCAUUUCUCUGCAUACAUGUCAGUUAAAAGCUAAAAAGUUGAAGACCCAAUAUAGAUUUUCCACGACAUAUUUCAAGGAAGUUUUAUCUUUUGUAUUGCAUGUAUGUGUUUGCAUGUGUGUGUGUGUGUGUGUGUGUGUGUGUGUGUGUGUGUGUGUGUGUGUGUGUGUGUGUGAAAUGCAUUUUGAUCCUCGGAUAUUAGAGAUUAGAUAUUCCUUUAUUAGUCCCACAGUGGGGACAUUUUAGUACCACAGCAGCGGGUGCAUAUUAGAGAAUUAAUAAAAGAUACAAAUAAAACACAAAACACAAUAACAAAACUAAAUACUAACACUAAAAUACUAAAUAUACAGAGGAAACACAAUAUAUACACAAGGCAGUGACCAAAGGGAAUUUCCAGCAGUGUCAAACAUAUGUCGCAGUGUUUUUAUUUUGGUAAAAGCACGCAACCCCUGACUGUUUAAAUAAAAAAAUAAUGACGCUU